rnacentral:rRNA from 1 species
UACGGAGGAUGCAAGCGUUAUCCGGAUUUAUUGGGUUUAAAGGGUGCGUAGGCGGAAACUUAAGUCAGUGGUGAAAUCCUGCAGCUUAACUGUAGCACUGCCAUUGAUACUGAGAUUCUUGAGUACGAUUGAGGUAGGCGGAAUGUGUAAUGUAGCGGUGAAAUGCUUAGAUAUUACACAGAACACCAAUUGCGUAGGCAGCUUACUAAGUCGCAACUGACGCUGAGGCACGAAAGCGUGGGGAUCGAACAGG